UACGUAGGGUGCGAGCGUUGUCCGGAAUUACUGGGCGUAAAGAGCUCGUAGGUGGUUUGUCGCGUUGUUCGUGAAAACCUGAGGCUUAACCUUGGGCGUGCGGGCGAUACGGGCAGACUGGAGUACUGCAGGGGAGACUGGAAUUCCUGGUGUAGCGGUGGAAUGCGCAGAUAUCAGGAGGAACACCGGUGGCGAAGGCGGGUCUCUGGGCAGUAACUGACGCUGAGGCGCGAAAGCGUGGGGAGCAAACAGG
rnacentral:rRNA from 1 species